rnacentral:tRNA from 1 species
GGGGCCAUAGCUCAGUUGGGAGAGCGCCUGAAUGGCAUUCAGGAGGUCGUCGGUUCAAUCCCGUCUGGCUCCA